UACGAAGGGUGCAAGCGUUACUCGGAAUUACUGGGCGUAAAGCGUGCGUAGGCGGUUUGUUAAGUCCGUUGUGAAACCUCCAGGCUCAACCUGGAGACGCCACCCGAUACUGUCGUGACUAGAGUCCAGUAGGGGAGCGUGGAAUUCCUGGUGUAGCGGUGAAAUGCGCAGAUAUCAGGAGGAACACCAGCGGCGAAGGCGGCGCUCUGGGCUGGAACUGACGCUGAGGAGCGAAAGCGUGGGGAGCGAACAGG
rnacentral:rRNA from 1 species